UCACCACGACAGGGGAGCGCCACCGCAGAGGGCGCUGAGAGUGCGGAACAGCCGCAGACCCUAGAACCUGCUCCGGUUAGUACCGGCGAAGGGAGUCACGAUGAGUUCUGC
rfam:Aeromicrobium sp. Root495 contig_2, whole genome shotgun sequence.